rnacentral:tRNA from 1 species
AGAUGGCUAGUCCAAAAAAGACCUCUGAUUUCGGCUCAGAAGAUCGUGGUCUAAUUCCACGGCCCUCUU